rnacentral:rRNA from 1 species
AACGAACGCUGGCGGCAUGCCUAACACACGCAAGUCGAACGGUGUUCCCGCUUCGGCGGGGGCAUAGUGGCGCACGGGUGAGUAACGCGUGGGAACCUGCCCCGUGGUACGGAACAACUCCGGGAAACUGGAGCUAAUACCGUAUGUGUCCCCUGGGACAGAGAUUGCAUCGCCAUGGGAGGGGCCCGCGUAGGAUUAGGUAGUUGGCGGGGUAACGGCCCACCAAGCCCGCGAUCCUUAGCUGGUCUGAGAGGAGGAUCAGCCACACUGGGACUGAGACACGGCCCAGACUCCUACGGGAGGCAGCAGUGGGGAAUAUUGGACAAUGGGCGCAAGCCUGAUCCAGCAAUGCCGCGUGAGUGAUGAAGGCCUUCGGGUUGUAAAGCUCUUUCGCACGCGACGAUGAUGACGGUAGCGUGAGAAGAAGCCCCGGCUAACUUCGUGCCAGCAGCCGCCGUAA